rnacentral:lncRNA from 1 species
ACACUAAUGGAAAGUUAGAGAAUGUUUUUUAUGUUUCUUAUUCUUGAUAAUUAGAAUGCCAAAAGAAUAAAAUAGUGUCAGUGUGAUGCUUUAGUGUCCCCCAACCCCACGUUGCAGGUACAGCCAGCAGUUCUUAUUUCUCUAUUAGAGCUUCUUUAUGAUCCUGCCCUCUAGAGCCUCCAACAAAGCACAGAAUUAUUUUCACAUUAGCAUUAGUUGGAUGUGAUUAGCUCACAGAGUAUAUAUCUCAUUUUUAGUGGUAUGUACCCUGGGAACUUUGUAUGUCUGUCAUCACAUUAACUACAAAUGUGUUUCUUUAGUUAGAAGGACAAAACCAAACUGUAAUAGCUAUUUCGUUCACAGUACUGUAAGGAAGAGUAACAGCUGAGAGAAAGCUUGGGUAAAGGCCAAUUCUGUUCUCUUGCACUGAGAAGGCCAUGUUUUCCAAUCACACUUAUGUGCCAGGAUGGAUCAGGGGCAUCACUGCAUCUCUGUUUCCAGCAUUAGAGCCAUCUGUAUUGUAUUAACUUGUAUAAUACAUACUGGUAAUUUUCCAGCUCGUUCCUUCCUUGUGCUGCCUUCUCUGAAGGCCAAAAUUUCUCAAAAGAAUAGAGCAAGGAAAUUUGUACAUGUUGAACCCCAAAGUCACCCUUCCAUUGAGUCAGAAUAUCCUUAGGUUGCUCGACAAAUAGCAAGGGGGAAGGGGUGGAAGAAAAUGAAUAAUACCUUGUACAUCUUCACCCCUAGGCAGAAGCUGCUGCAUUUUCGUAGAAAUGUAUUCAUGGUUCAGGUUGACUUUUUGAAGAGCAAACAAACUGUGCAGCAGAGAGAGAAGGCCUAGAGAUAUUCUAAGAGUUUUUCCCCCCUACUUCAGAAUUUCUGACACAAAUUUGCAAGUCUGUCUGUCCUGCUUUGACAACUCAAAGUUUCUGCAAGUACACACGU